rnacentral:rRNA from 1 species
AGUGAACGCUGGCGGUAGGCCUAACACAUGCAAGUCGAACGGCAGCACAGUAAGAGCUUGCUCUUACGGGUGGCGAGUGGCGGACGGGUGAGGAAUACAUCGGAAUCUACUUUUUCGUGGGGGAUAACGUAGGGAAACUUACGCUAAUACCGCAUACGACCUACGGGUGAAAGCAGGGGAUCUUCGGACCUUGCGCGAUUGAAUGAGCCGAUGUCGGAUUAGCUAGUUGGCGGGGUAAAGGCCCACCAAGGCGACGAUCCGUAGCUGGUCUGAGAGGAUGAUCAGCCACACUGGAACUGAGACACGGUCCAGACUCCUACGGGAGGCAGCAGUGGGGAAUAUUGGACAAUGGGCGCAAGCCUGAUCCAGCCAUACCGCGUGGGUGAAGAAGGCCUUCGGAUUGUAAAGCCCUUCUGUUGGGAAAGAAAAGCAGCAGGUUAAUACCCCGCUGUUCUGACGGUACCCAAAGAAUAAGCACCGGCUAACUUCGUG